GACGGAGGAUGCAAGCGUUAUCCGGAAUGAUUGGGCGUAAAGCGUCUGCAGGUGGCCGUUCAAGUCUGCUGUCAAAGACCGGGGCUUAACUUCGGAAAGGCAGUGGAAACUGAACAGCUAGAGUAUGGUAGGGGCAGAGGGAAUUCCUGGUGUAGCGGUGAAAUGCGUAGAGAUCAGGAAGAACAUCGGUGGCGAAGGCGCUCUGCUGGACCAUAACUGACACUCAGGGACGAAAGCUAGGGGAGCAAAUGGG
rnacentral:rRNA from 1 species